ensembl:lncRNA
AAAACAAGACAAAAAUACUGGGAUAUAUAUAUAUAUAUGUACUGUAUAUAUAGCAUUGAAAAUGAAUGCAAAUUCAUAAUCUGGUCAUGAUUUUAUUUGGUAGAUAAGUAAAUUUUCAUCAUCAUGAUAAUCAUGAUACAAAAGUACUUUGGUACUGUUUUUUAACCACUAGGUACCAUAAUAUAAAAUAUCAUUACUGAAAAAAGUUAUUAAUAAUGAAUAAAUAUUUGAUACUUUCUAAUGUUUAAUUUCUGAUUUGUUUACUGAUAUAUUUAUUUAUUGUUAAAUCUGUUUUUCAUUGAUGAUUCAUCUCAGAAAUAUUUAUUUACAAUACAGUAAAUAAUAAUUAUAAUUAUUAAUAUAAAUUAUAUUAAUAAUAUGUCAUGUUUAAUUAAUGCAAUAAUACAACAAUAUAUUUACAGAUUUUUUGACAAUAUAAUAAAUAAUUAUUAUAGAUAGAUGUGAAUGCUGUGAGUUUUGCUGGAAACACUGACGCUUCUGUUUCCACCUCGUUUGACCUUUGACCUCCACCACCGUCCUGGCGUCUCCUCGAGUGCCGCUUCUCCUCGUUCGUUGCAUAAGAAACAGAACAGAAAUAACAUGAGGUCAGCAGACAGACGCUCGGAUCCUUCUGCAUCUCUCAGACGUCGAGCCUCUGCUAAGAAAACACAGCAAGCUUCAGCAGUUCAGAAGAUUCAUGUGAGAUCAGACGUUCAUCAGCGCGUGAUACUGAUGCUCAGAUGUUUUCUCGGGUGCUGUGAUUAGGAUCUCUUGUCGAUGGACCGGCCCUCUUCUCCUCGGCUGAAAUCCCCUCAGUACGUCCUUCAGUCGCCGUGUGAAAACAACAUCUACAUUUUAUCUUCACGCCAGUGAUUACACACACUCAACUUCCCUAAAGCACUCACACACACAGCUCUUCAUCAGCCCUUCUUCUUUUAUUUUUGCUAUUUACUUUUGCUCGUUUAAGUCUAUUUAAGUCAUGCAAUGAAGAUUGACUUCCUGCAAUAUUUUUCAUUUGCCGCAAGUUUUUUGUGAGGCUACACUGCAACAAAGACCCGUGUGAAAAGUGCUAGUCCCACUAUUAGUUUCGAAGUGUAUUUUUUAUUUUAAGUCAAAAUUUUUAUGUAAAAUAAUUGAAAAAAAUCAUUAUUUUAUUUAAUCCUAAUUAACCUUCAUUAUUUGAUUCUAACCCUAAUCAUAUAUGUAUCAUGUUCUAAAUUUGUAAAUAAAUUUAAUAUGUAAUAUAUAUAUUUGAAUAUAUAUUUAACUAAAAUUUAAAAUCAAGCUAAACAAAUAAGUUAACUAAAAUUAUUAAUUUACAUACACACACAUAUAUAUAUGUAUAGCCCUACAUGUGUGUUUUAUACAUACAUAUAUAUAUAUAUAUAUAUAUAUAUAUAUAUAUAUAUAUAUAUAUAAUUCUAAAUGUUUUAA